rnacentral:rRNA from 1 species
UACGUAGGGUCCGAGCGUUGUCCGGAAUUACUGGGCGUAAAGAGCUCGUAGGUGGUUUGUCGCGUUGUUCGUGAAAACUCACAGCUCAACUGUGGGCGUGCGGGCGAUACGGGCAGACUAGAGUACUGCAGGGGGAGACUGGAAUUCCUGGUGUAGCGGUGGAAUGCGCAGAUAUCAGGAGGAACACCGGUGGCGAAGGCGGGUCUCUGGGCCGGUACCGACGCUGAGGAGCGAAAGCGUGGGGAGCGAACAGG